UCUGCAACUCGACUACAUGAAGCUGGAAUCGCUAGUAAUCGCGGAUCAGAAUGCCGCGGUGAAUACGUUCCCGGGUCUUGUACACACCGCCCGUCACACCAUGGGAGUCGGAAAUGCCCGAAGCCGGUGACCAAACCAAUAAGGAAGGAGCCGUCGAAGGCAGGUCUGAUAACUGGGGUGAAGUCGUAACAAGGUACC
rnacentral:rRNA from 1 species